GUGCUUGCUUUGGCAGCACAUAUACUAAAAUUAGAACGAGACAGAGAAGAUUAGCAUGGCCCUUGAACAAAGAUGACACACAAAUUUAUUGAAAAAAAAAAAAAACCUUU
ensembl:snRNA U6 U6 spliceosomal RNA